rnacentral:rRNA from 1 species
CCUACGGGAGGCAGCAGUAAGGAAUAUUGGACAAUGGUGGCAACACUGAUCCAGCCAUGCCGCGUGCAGGAUGACGGUUCUAUGAAUUGUAAACUGCUUUUAUACGGGAAAAACCCUCAAGACGUGAUUUUGAGCUGAUUGUACCGUAAGAAUAAGGAUCGGCUAACUUCGUGCCAGCAGCCGCGGUAAGACGAAGGAUCCAAGCGUUAUCCAGAUUUACUGGGUUUAAAGGGUGCGUAGGCGGACUCAUAAGUCAGUGGUGAAAUCCCAAAGCUUAACUUGGAACUGCCAUUGAUACUGUAAGUCUUGAGUAUGUUUGAAGUGGGCGGAAUGUAUUGUGUAGCGGUGAAAUGCUUAGAUAUAAUACAGAACACCAAUUGCGAAGGCAGCUCACUAAACCAUAACUGACGCUGAGGCACGAAAGCAUGGGGAGCAAACAGGAUUAGAUACCCUGGUAGUCCAUGCCCUAAACGAUGAAUACUCGAUAUGUGCGAUAUACAGUACGUGUCUAAGCGAAAGCAUUAAGAUUCCACCUGGGGAGUACGNUCGCAAGAGUGAAACUUAAGGAAUUGACCGGNNGAGAGNGCGAGGACGACACGAGGGAGAGG